CGGGCAAUAGCGCAGAUGGUUAGCGUACUAGUCUGGGGGACUAGGGGUCGGCGGUUCGACUCCGCCUUGCCCGA
rfam:Spirochaetes bacterium GWC1_61_12 gwc1_scaffold_585, whole genome shotgun sequence.